AUUGAACGCUGGCGGCAUGCCUUACACAUGCAAGUCGAACGGUAACAGGUUAAGCUGACGAGUGGCGAACGGGUGAGUAAUAUAUCGGAACGUGCCCAGUCGUGGGGGAUAACUGCUCGAAAGAGCAGCUAAUACCGCAUACGACCUGAGGGUGAAAGCGGGGGAUCGCAAGACCUCGCGCGAUUGGAGCGGCCGAUAUCAGAUUAGGUAGUUGGUGGGGUAAAGGCCUACCAAGCCUACGAUCUGUAGCUGGUCUGAGAGGACGUCCAGCCACACUGGGACUGAGACACGGCCCAGACUCCUACGGGAGGCAGCAGUGGGGAAUUUUGGACAAUGGACGCAAGUCUGAUCCAGCCAUGCCGCGUGCGGGAAGAAGGCCUUCGGGUUGUAAACCGCUUUUGUCAGGGAAGAAAAGGUUCUGGUUAAUACCUGGGACUCAUGACGGUACCUGAAGAAUAAGCACCGGCUAACUACGUGCCAGCAGCCGCAGUAA
rnacentral:rRNA from 1 species